CUGCUGCCUUCCGUAGGAGUCUGGGCCGUGUCUCAGUCCCAAUGUGGCCGUUCAACCUCUCAGUCCGGCUACUGAUCGUCGCUUUGGUGGGCCGUUACCCCGCCAACUGGCUAAUCAGACGCGAGCUCAUCUUUGGACGAUAAAUCUUUGGCAGCAAAAUCAUGCGACCCCGCUGCAUCAUGCGGUAUUAGCAGUCGUUUCCGGCUGUUAUCCCCCACCCAAAGGCAGAUUGCUCACGCGUUA
rnacentral:rRNA from 1 species